CCUACGGGAGGCAGCAGUAGGGAAUAUUGGGCAAUGGACGCAAGUCUGACCCAGCCAUGCCGCGUGCAGGAAGAAGGCGUUAUGCGUUGUAAACUGCUUUUAUACAGGAAGAAACGACUCUUGCGAGAGGCAUUGACGGUACUGUAUGAAUAAGCACCGGCUAACUCCGUGCCAGCAGCCGCGGUAAUACGGAGGGUGCAAGCGUUGUCCGGAUUUAUUGGGUUUAAAGGGUGCGCAGGUGGUUUAUUAAGUCAGUGGUGAAAGACGGUCGCUCAACGAUUGCAGUGCCAUUGAAACUGGUAGACUUGAGUAAAGUAGAGGUGGGCGGAAUUGAUAGUGUAGCGGUGAAAUGCAUAGAUAUUAUCAAGAACUCCAAUUGCGAAGGCAGCUCACUUGGCUUUUACUGACACUCAUGCACGAAAGUGUGGGUAUCAAACAGGAUUAGAUACCCUGGUAGUCCACACUGUAAACGAUGAUAACUAGGUGUCGGCCGAAUCUGGUCGGUGCCACAGCGAAAGCGUUAAGUUAUCCCACCGUCGGGAGGUACGCCGGCCGACGGUAGUAAACGUUAAAGGUAAAGUUAGUACGGACGUGAGACGUUGCCGACGGACGACGACGAGGGAGGAGG
rnacentral:rRNA from 1 species